rnacentral:rRNA from 1 species
UACGGAGGGUGCAAGCGUUAAUCGGAAUUACUGGGCGUAAAGCGUGCGCAGGCGGUCUGUUAAGCGAGAUGUGAAAGCCCCGGGCUCAACCUGGGAACUGCAUUUCGAACUGGCAGACUAGAGUCUUGUAGAGGGGGGUAGAAUUCCAGGUGUAGCGGUGAAAUGCGUAGAGAUCUGGAGGAAUACCGGUGGCGAAGGCGGCCCCCUGGACAAAGACUGACGCUCAUGCACGAAAGCGUGGGGAGCAAACAGG